AGAAUUCAGUAACAGAGAACGAAUAGCAAAAAUUCCCUCCCCUGUAUACCCGCCCUAAGAUAUUCCGAAUUUCUCAUUUAAUUGCCCGUGAGAAAUUUUAGUAGUUUUAUUCUAUUCAUGUACAAAAUUUAAGUAAAUACCACUUGAGGUUUAUUUAUAAUCAGUAUGGAUUUAACGAUAAAGGAAUAUUGAUCAGGAAGCGAAUUCUACCAAAAAUUUAACCUUCAUGAUGUGUUAAAGCACAUGUAUGUUUAAUAGUGUAUUUGUAAAGAGAAUAACAUAUAUAGCAAGAUUUGGAGAACCACUUAAGAGGAAUCAUUUUGCCACAAAACUCUGUCCAAAAAAAGAUUCUGUUGUGCAUAUCAUGUGAGGAGAAGCCAUCCAGCUGGCUUACAGAAGGUCGGUGGUUCUACCU
rnacentral:misc_RNA from 1 species